ACUCUAAUUAAAGUUUAAAUAAAAUUUACAAUUUUAAUUUUAUUAGAAA
rnacentral:tRNA from 1 species